UACGUAGGGCGCAAGCGUUGUCCGGAAUUAUUGGGCGUAAAGAGCUCGUAGGCGGUCUGUUACGUCUGCUGUGAAAACCCAGGGCUUAACCCUGGGCUUGCAGUGGAUACGGGCAGACUAGAGGCAGGUAGGGGAGAAUGGAAUUCCCGGUGUAGCGGUGAAAUGCGCAGAUAUCGGGAGGAACACCGGUGGCGAAGGCGGGUCUCUGGGCCGAUAUUGACGCUGAGGAGCGAAAGCGUGGGGAGCGAACAGG
rnacentral:rRNA from 1 species